UACGUAGGGUGCAAGCGUUGUCCGGAAUUAUUGGGCGUAAAGAGCGUGUAGGCGGCCGUACAGGUCAGCUGUGAAAACUCGAGGCUCAACCUCGAGACGUCGGUUGAAACCGUACGGCUAGAGUCCGGAAGAGGAGAGUGGAAUUCCCGGUGUAGCGGUGAAAUGCGCAGAUAUCGGGAAGAACACCCGUGGCGAAGGCGGCUCUCUGGGACGGUACUGACGCUGAGACGCGAAAGCGUGGGGAGUGAACAGG
rnacentral:rRNA from 1 species